rnacentral:lncRNA from 1 species
UGAAAGACAUAAAAAUAUUUUCAGGCCAAAGAUCCUUGUAGCCUAAAUUUGACCUUGUAUGCGGAAAUUUUUCAUCUGCCUAGUCUUUCAAAUUAAAUGAAACUUAUAAAUACAUUCUGAUUUUUUUUUUAACUGUUGUUUACUACAGCUUAAUUAUGUGGAGAUACCACAGUGGAGAAUGCUGGGACUGAAAUACUGGAAAUGUGUCAGAUUGUGAUAAUAACAGAAGAAAAAAUUUCCUUCAAGAAAGAAACUUGACCACUGGGCAUAAUGUGCUGGUCAAGGGCAAAUCAGAAAGAACUACCAUUAAGAAGUCUGUGACCAGGUUUAUAUAGUAAAGCAUAUCCUUAUCUAUUCUCUCCCCCAUCCCACUGGGAAAUGGAGGAAUGAACGAACAACUUUAUGACACUUACGUACCUGCCAGGUUAAACCACAACAUGAUGUAGAACUGCACUCACAACAAACAGC